GUCCAGCUGACGAGUCACAAAUAGGACGAAACGCGCAUCCUGGAU
rnacentral:hammerhead_ribozyme from 1 species